UACGGAGGGGGCUAGCGUUGUUCGGAAUUACUGGGCGUAAAGCGCACGUAGGCGGCUUUGUAAGUUAGAGGUGAAAGCCCGGGGCUCAACUCCGGAAUUGCCUUUAAGACUGCAUCGCUCGAAUUGUGGAGAGGUAAGUGGAAUUCCGAGUGUAGAGGUGAAAUUCGUAGAUAUUCGGAAGAACACCAGUGGCGAAGGCGACUUACCGGACACAUAUUGACGCUGAGGUGCGAAAGCGUGGGGAGCAAACAGG
rnacentral:rRNA from 1 species